rnacentral:rRNA from 1 species
GUAGGGAAUAUUGGGCAAUGGAUGCAAGUCUGACCCAGCCAUCCCGCGUGCCGGAAGAAGGCCCUCAGGGUUGUAAACGGCUUUUGACGGUGAAGAAUCGACAGGAUGCGUCCUGUUUUGACGGUAGCCGUUGAAUAAGCACCGGCUACUCCGUGCCAGCAGCCGCGGUAAUACGGAGGGUGCGAGCGUUGUCCGGAUUUAUUGGGUUUAAAGGGUGCGUAGGCUGGAAGGUCAGUCAGCGGUGAAAAGCUGUCGCUUAACGAUAGUCUUGCCGCAGAUACUUCCUUUCUUGGAUGAGGAGGAGGCCACUGGAACGGAUGGUGUAGCGGUGAAAUGCAUAGAUAUCAUCCAGAACACCGAUUGCGAAGGCAGGUGGCUGUACCUUAAUCGACGCUGAUGCACGAAAGCAUGGGGAGCAAACAGGAUUAGAAACCCGGGUAGUCC